AGCUGUUUCUUUUUGGGGAUAGAUAGUCGACACUUAUGAUGGGGGUUGUUGCACGUGUGAUGUUGAGGGUCGAGGUUUCUUUUUGAGGUUUUAGGCUGGACGUGGCUGAGUCCUAGCUUUUCCUUUUUGAUGUACCGACCCAAAAGAAAUCCCAUCUUGAAAAUAUAUAUGUAAAUAAAGUGUCGUGGCUUGUUUAUAAAAUUAUGGUGAUUAGUGGUGUGUAUUUGUAUCAUGGUUGG
rnacentral:lncRNA from 1 species